rnacentral:rRNA from 1 species
UACGGAAGGCAGCAGUGGGGAAUAUUGCACAAUGGGCGAAAGCCUGAUGCAGCUAUGCCGCGUGUAUGAAGAAGGCCUUAGGGUUGUAAAGUACUUUCAUCGGGGAGGAAAAAACAAAACUAAUAAUUUUAUUUCUUGACGUUACCCGAAAAAGAAGCACCGGCUAACUCCGUGCCAGCAGCCGCGGUAAUACGGAGGGUGCUAGCGUUAAUCAGAAUUACUGGGCGUAAAGAGCACGUAGGUAGUUUUUUUAAGUCAGAUGUGAAAUCCCUGGGCUUAACCUAGGAACUGCAUUUUGAAACUGAAAUACUAGAGUAUCGUAGAGGGAGGUAGAAUUCUAGGUGUAGCGGUGAAAUGCGUAGAUAUCUGGAGGAAUACCUGUGGCGAAAGCGGCCUCCUAAACGAAUACUGACACUGAGGUGCGAAAGCGUGGGGAGCAAACAGGGAUUAGAUACC